GGCCUGGGAGUUUCCGUGGGACAGACGCGGGGAGGCUUGCGAGGUGAAGCAAGAGGACAGACGCCCAAGCGGCGCGAGUCGGCGCAGCAGGUUGAAGCGUGGCUGUCCUGCCGAACCCCGUUGGCGGCUGCGGCGGCAUGACUCGCCAGUGCUACGCCGACCGGCCGCGCCGUUCGAAAUGUUGGUGCGCCUUUCCAUCUGACGCCCUAGGCAGCGGCGCGGUGGCGGACGGCUGCACGCUACUACCGACGAUCGAUACAGUGGCAGCUGGUUUUGUAUCCAAAUUUCAACUAUGAUGAGGAAGGAAUGAUUCAGAGCUUUGGCUAGCUGCUACGAUACGAGCCCGGGAGCAAAGACAUGAACUUCCAUAGG